UAAUACAUGCAUGUCGAGCGGGAGUAGCAAUACUCUAGCGGCAAAUGGGUGAGUAACACGUGCUUAAUCUACCUUUUAGAUUGGAAUACCCAAUGGAAACAUUGGUUAAUGCCGGAUAAGUAUGAAAUCGCAUGAUUUCGUUAUGAAAGAAGCGUUUGCUUCACUAAGAGAUGAGGGUGCGGAACAUUAGCUAGUUGGUGAGGUAAUGGCCCACCAAGGCUAUGAUGUUUAGCCGGGUCGAGAGACUGAACGGCCACAUUGGGACUGAGAUACGGCCCAAACUCCUACGGGAGGCAGCAGUAGGGAAUAUUCCACAAUGAGCGAAAGCUUGAUGGAGCGACACAGCGUGCACGAUGAAGGCCCUCGGGUUGUAAAGUGCUGUUGCAAGGGAAGAAAAAGCAGUUGAGGAAAUGCAACUGAACUGACGGUACCUUGUUAGAAAGCGAUGGCUAACUAUGUGCCAGCAGCCGCGGUAAUACAUAGGUCGCAAGCGUUAUCCGGAAUUAUUGGGCGUAAAGCGUUCGUAGGCUGUUUAUUAAGUCUGGAGUCAAAUCCCAGGGCUCAACCCUGGCUCGCUUUGGAUACUGGUAAACUAGAGUUGGAUAGAGGUAAGCGGAAUUCCAUGUGAAGCGGUGAAAUGCGUAGAUAUAUGGAAGAACACCAAAGGCGAAGGCAGCUUACUGGGUCUAUACUGACGCUGAGGGACGAAAGCGUGGGGAGCAAACAGGAUUAGAUACCCUGGUAGUCCACGCCGUAAACGAUGAUCAUUAGUCGGUGACCAAUCACUGACGCAGCUAACGCAUUAAAUGAUCCGCCUGAGUAGUAUGCUCGCAAGAGUAAAACUUAAAGGAAUUGACGGGGACCCGCACAAGCGGUGGAGCAUGUGGUUUAAUUUGAGGAUACGCGGAGAACCUUACCCACUCUUGACAUCCUUCGCAAAGCUAUAGAGAUAUAGUGGAGGUUAACGGAGUGACAGAUGGUGCAUGGUUGUCGUCAGCUCGUGUCGUGAGAUGUUUGGUCAAGUCCUGCAACGAGCGCAACCCCUAUCUUUAGUUACUAACGAGUCAUGUCGAGGACUCUAGAGAUACUGCCUGGGUAACUGGGAGGAAGGUGGGGAUGACGUCAAAUCAUCAUGCCUCUUACGAGUGGGGCUACACACGUGCUACAAUGGUCGGUACAAAGAGAAGCAAUAUGGCGACAUGGAGCAAAUCUCAAAAAGCCGAUCUCAGUUCGGAUUGGAGUCUGCAA
rnacentral:rRNA from 2 species